AAACUUUCAACAACGGAUCUCUUGGUUCCGGCAUCGAUGAAGAACGCAGCGAAAUGCGAUACGUAAUGUGAAUUGCAAAUUCAGUGAAUCAUCGAGUCUUUGAACGCACAUUGCGCCCCCUGGUAUUCCGGGGGGCAUGCCUGUCCGAGCGUCAUUGCUG
rnacentral:rRNA from 1 species